GGGUUUCCCUGCUAUGUUUUGUCACACAUCAUUGCUGGGAGAGUUCGGUGCUAUCCAAGUGACUCCCCUGGGAGAGGGCAACUGGAAAUUUAUGCCUGGUGUCUUCCUGGACUCCAACCUAUGUACCUUUUUCCUUGGAUGAUUUUAACCUGUCUCCUUUUGCUGCAAUGAACCAUAACCAUGAGUAUAACAGCUUUUCUAAUUUUUGUGAGUCCCUCAAGUGAAUCAUCAAACCUAAGGUAGUUUUGGGACCCCCAUCACAGACAGUCAAACAGGAGCAGGGCAAGAAGAGCUGCUUUGCCUGGAAGGCUAAUGAGUCUGAACUUCACCCUGGAGGUAAUCGUUAUAGUAACUCCAGGCUCUAACCUGAAGCUGACAUGAUAAGGCCAAAUGUACACCUCUAGAAGACACUUCCGACUGCAGAGGGGAAUGGAUGGGGGAGCUGAGGGAGUAGAGCUGAAGUGGGAAGACCAUGGCCUGGAAAGAGAUGGCUGAACCAGUCCAGAAUCACAAGAAAGGCAUCAGCACCUUCUGUGAAAUGGGGAGCCAUGCAGAGGAGGUACCCAGGUGGCAAGGAGUCCAUGUCAG
rnacentral:antisense_RNA from 1 species